rnacentral:lncRNA from 1 species
GCGUCAGUGAGAUUGCUGGAAAAACUAUGCUGGUGUGCAAAGGAUGCAGGAAGGAGGCAGCAUCUCUGCAGAGAAAGAGUUCCACUCACAGCCUGGUUAGGCUAACCUGGAAGAAAGGGAAUGGGAAGGAAGAAGGGAAGAAAGUGGAAUACAUGCUGCUGUGAUCUACUGCUACAGUGGCUCAAAAAACUCAGAGGAGCUCAUGUAUUUUUCAGUGUUGACUACCCUCGUUUUGCAGGUGAUGAAUUACAGACCCUUUAGCAGCUAUGACACUCUCUCUAAUUGUGUUUCCUCAAAUUAGCUCAGAGCUCUGAGAAGCUGGCAUGUAGUGAGACAACCCAGUGGGAGUAUGGGAUUUUCCUGCCCUUGCAUAGUGUAUAAAUAAAGGCUCUUUUCUACAAUCCUUAUGAUCAGACAGUCUUGCCUAAAGCUGGUCGGAAUAGAUCCAGUGACUUCAGUGAGGCUGUGCAUGUUCACAUCAGCUGAGAAUCUGGCCUGAAGUACUAUUAAAUUACUUAUUUCACUUCUAUAAAUAUCCCUGCCCUGCUGAGAUGAUGCGCCUGAUUCAUGGGGCCUGUUUUGCUGCACAGGGCAGUUGAUGGGCAAGAUAACCAGUAGUCAGAUCAUUAAAACACAAUUAGACAGAAGGAAGCCAGAAAUUCAGCCACAAUCAUCCCUCUCCAUUUUGUGCCCCAGCAUACGCUGGCAGUUCCUGCGGACAGCUGGAGGCACACGAGGAUGUUACCUCCUAGCUGCCGUGCCAUACCUUCUCCAAGGAGAGCAGCAGCUGAAAAGCAGAUUGCCUUCCUGAAAAUGGGACAUCCUGUCAGCAGGGAAAAGCAAACUGAACAAAAGGUGCUGAGUUUGUUUCCCAUUCAGUGGCUGCUAUUUGCCUCAUGGUGUUUGGCAUUCGCCUUGCAAUCUCCAAGUGAGCCAGUGAGGUCUUCUUUGGUGCCCAGCCACUUCUAAUCAAACAAGCAUGUUUCUGGGGGAUGGCAAAGGCAGGUAAAAUCACUGUCUUUGUCCUGUGAGUGCUUCACUGACCCAAGUGACAGCCUCUCCAUACACCCUUCUGGGUUGUGGUUUUGGUAUGAUGAAGGAGUUGUCAGGAGGAAUGCUGGGCAGAAAUGAGGCAGACACUUUUAAUAAGACCAACAGUUUGAAAAUUUCG